AGAAGGCCCAUUUACCUGUCCACUGCGAACACCUUGCUGCACUCAGGCAGCCUGACCUGAGGACAUGGAAUUCCAACAGAUGGAUGGCAGGGCAAGGGUGGCAGCUGAGCUGUGUGAACAGAGAAGGGGCAGCCACUAUGAGGACAAGAAGCAGAUGCUGUUCACACUGCUGGUCUUGGUGCUGUACUUGGGCACAGGGAUAUCAGGAAGAAGUUGGGAGAUGUACAAAAGAGUCAAGGAAUGUAACUACUCCCAGAAUCCCGUGGCUUCCCAGCUGCUGUUGAUCACCCUGUGUGAACGCCAAGCCAACUGGUGUGGCUGUGUGAUGGCGUCAACCCCGGAGAAACAGCUGAGUCCACCAUUCAAAAGGUCGAUGUUGUCACCCCAAAUGAAGACGCCAUGUCAAGCUCCUCCAUCACACCAAACAUGAGCAGCAACCUAUCCCAUGUGGGGUCAAUCAAGAAAUUAACAGAAGAUGCUCAACAAAUGAUGGGAAACUGAGACCGGGCAGUAGCUGAGGCUGAAGAAAAGGGAUCAUCAACAAGACAUGCUAAUACACAAUCUCUGAUGGAGAUGGGUAUGGAAAGCUGUUUGCCAGGCCUUGGGACUUCUCCUUUUCAGCAGAGAAGGAGCUAACCCAUCAUCUCAGGUCAUGACCGGGUACCCACAACAAUGGAAGGGACAAGCUUGUUCUUGUUAAGGUGAAAGUGAUAAA